UUUAAAAUACAGCUCAGUCAGCAGAGCAUGAGGCUCUUAAUCUCAGGGUUGUGGGUUUGAGACCCUUGUUGGACAAAA